GGUUGCGUUCAUACCAGCACUAAUGCACCGGAUCCCAUCAGAACUCCGCAGUUAAGCGUGCUUGGGCGAGAGUAGUACUAGGAUGGGUGACCCCCUGGGAAGUCCUCGUGUUGCAACCC
rnacentral:rRNA from 1 species